ACCAUAAACCCUAAACUCUAAACCCUAAAUCCUAAACCCUAAACCCUAAAUCCUAAACCCUAAAACCCUAGAGUUGAUGUUUUAGGGUUUAGAUUUGUAGGUUUAGGGUUUACGUUUAGGGUUUAGAGUUGAUGUUUUAGGGUUUAUAUUUGAAGGUUUAGGGUUUAGAGUUUAGAGUUGAUGUUUCAUUGUUUAGGGUUUAGAGUUGAUGAUUUAGGGUUUAAAGUUGAUGUUUUAAGUUUAGAUUUAGGGUUUAGGGUUUACGUUUAGGGUUUAGAAUUGAUGUUUUAGGGUUUUUGAUUUGAAGGUUUAGGGUUUAGGGUUUAGGGUUUAGAAUUGAUGUUUCGGGGUUUAGAGGUUAUGUUUCAUGGUUUAGAGUUGAUGAUUUAGGGUUUAGAGUUGAUGUUUUAAGCUUAGAUUAG
rnacentral:lncRNA from 1 species